GGUCACACACAUUAGAGGUUCCUAUCUGAUCUGAUGGCUGAUGAAGAGUCCUAAUGCUCAUGGACUAUGAGUCCUACGUGUCUGGGACUCUAUGAUCGAGAAUCAGGAUUCUCUGAUCAUGAGUCCCACACAUUUUGGGUACCGGGGUCAAGAGUCCCAUUGGUUUAGGACUCUUCGAUCAGGGUUACAUAUCGAUGAAUUCUGAU
rnacentral:lncRNA from 1 species